rnacentral:tRNA from 2 species
AAGGAUUUAAGUUAAUCAAACUAAGAACCUUCAAAGUUCUAAAUAAAGACAUUUAUCCUCUUUA